rnacentral:lncRNA from 10 species
CCAGCACGUUUCAGGCGCAGCUCGAUGUGGCCCUGUGAUUGGAUCUGGCCACCAGGAUGUGAGAAGCAAAAAUGUGAAAUUUCUGGGUCAUAUCCUUGAAAAGAAACUGCUUGUCCUUCCCCUUCCCCCGCAUCAGAUGGGCUGGAGGGGCAGCCAGGUGGCACCCAACAGAGGGCAGCAGGGUGGGAAUGACUGGGCAGGGCGGGGAAGGGUCCUGGCUCCAGGAGGACCUCUUGGAGAAACAGCCCUUCCUGCCCUGAGUUACCCACCAACCUUAGAAGGGAGGAAAGAGCAGUUCUCUCGCUCCAGCCAUCACCAUUGCACGUCUCCUUAAUACAGCCGCGUGGAUGGCGCCCAGGGCCGCGGGCCAGGAGACCCCCGCCAUGUGGCCUCGUCUGCCUUCCUGACCUGAAAUCCCCCUCUCCUCCUCCCACUGUUCUGAGCUCUGGGCGUUGGUCCUGAGGCUGUCUCAGCAGGAUGGAGGUGACAGCGGGAAAAGGUGAAGAGAGCCGCCGUGGCAUCAGUGGACCUGGGUUCCCAUGCCAGCCAUGUCUGUUACAUGGCAAUCUCCCCAGCACUUCUGAGCCUCAGGGAAUUAUCAGAAACAUUGGUGUGAUAAUAAUUCACCUUUCAGGGCGGGAGAGAGGACAACAGCAGCGUUAGUCAGGAAAGCUGUGGCUUUGGAGGCCGACUCUCCUUUGAAUCCUGGAGCUUCCUCCUUUUGGCUGUGUGACUUUGACAAGACACUCACCCAGUGCGUUUUCAUUUCCUCAAGAGCAAAAUAUUUGAGACAACAUCACGUCCAUGAAACACUUUGCACUGUGUGUGACACACGUAAAUGCUGGUGGUACCAGUGUGGUCAUAUUUACACAUGGAAGAAAGGCCGGAAGGAAAAUUCCAGAUACUGUGGUGGUGUUAUGGCAAGUUUCACUUAAUUGCUUUAACAAUGAUGCUCACCAUAAAUGUAUACAAACUCU